rnacentral:misc_RNA from 1 species
UAAAGAAAUGGGUCCUAGACCCCCACACACGCCACUCGGUAAAGAAUCGGGCCUAUAGCUCAGCUGGCUAGAGCACACGACUGAUAAUCGUGAGGUCAGUGGUUCGAGUCCACUUGGGCCCACCAAAUGGGGCUGUAGCUCAGCUGGGAGAGCACCUGCUUUGCAAGCAGGGGGUCACCGGUUCGAUCCCGGUCAGCUCCACCAAAGGGAAGAGGCCCGCGCGCAGCGGGUCGGACGCUGGGGUGGAGAAGCAGGCAGUAGUGGGUGAAAGAGUUAAAGAGUAUAGAGUAAAGGGUAGAGAUAAAGCGGUCAGCCCGAGUAAGCGGCAUGGUUGGUCGAAGAGUCCGUAGUAGUGAGUUUCUAAAAAAGAAGCUGAGUACUACCGAUUCGAAGUACUGAAGCGGUAUUGUUCUUUGACAGUUGAGGAAGGGAAGGCCAUGUUUGUCAUCUUGCCGAUGGCAGACCUCCGAGUGGAUGCUUGGGGAUAUAUGGUCAAGUGAAUAAGGGCAUACGGUGGAUGCCUUGGCAGAGACAGGCGAUGAAGGACGUGGAUACCUGCGAAAAGCCUCGGGGAGCUGGUAAACAAGCUUUGAUCCGGGGAUGUCCGAAUGGGGCAACCCAGCCA